UUUCUUUUCUUUGCUAAACCCUAGCGCCACCUGCAAAUGUUUUCCCUCUCUAUGCCAAAAAUGGCGAAUUCACAGAGCAAUGGCAGUCGCAUGCAGCUUUACCAUGUCCAUUUUGGUGAAAGCAUUAAAUGUUGUACCCGAAUUCGUGAUUUUAAAUCGCAAAUAUGGCUGGACUGUGAGAUUUGGAAGAAAUAAAGGUUUUCAAAUUCGUUUUUGAUCAGGCUGCACCACAAAAAGUCUGACGAGAACAUGAUCACACAAGCUAUAAUGGUUUGAUGAAAUUUUUCAGCUAAUGCAGAUCCUGAUAAAUGUAAUAGAACAUUCAUAGUGCUAUGGUGAGUACUUUGGGAGAUUCUGAAGUGAUUUUCUCUCUUUUUCUGAACAAGAAUGUGACCCUUUUUCUUUCUGAGUUUGUUUUUCUGAGAUCUUGUAUGCUUUUUUGAUUGUCAACUAAUGGAUGUGAAUUUUUGAUUGGUAUAGAGUUUAGGAAAUAUCAUGACUAGGUUAAAACAAGCUUAGAAGAAUUAAACUUGUUUAUAAGAAAUCUAUGGCAAUUGGCUAAAGUAUUUGAAGUUGUGUUUGCCUAUAUUUGUGUGGGUCUGAGAUCUCUCCAGGUCUGUUUGAAAGCAUUUAAGAUGGUCAAAGGACUCUGAAUAAUGGUAUAUUGUGCAAUAAAAAGUAUCUUGAAAGGAAAUGACAUCUUGGAGUAGAACAGGGCAGUCCAAAAUGAAGUUAAAACUUAGGACCACUAAUAAGAUAAUGAGGUGUCAAGGGCCCAUUAGGAGUUGAUAAGAGUCUAUAGAAUCUGAUCAGAUUGCUUUGAAGCAAAAGAGGGAAUAUCAUAUGUCAUUAACUGAACUAAGUGUCAUGUUUGGUUUCACUUGAGUAGGAUUUGGGUCCUUCGUUCAUAUUACCUUACUUUCCUCUCUGUUUCAUGUCUAAUUUUAUCAAAGGGAGUUUAAGAUAGAUUUAAGAGGUAAUUUAAAGUCUUGAUGUAUAUUUAACUGUCUAAAAAAAAUGAUUGAAUAGUUGGAAUUGGAUUUGUCCUCAACUUGGAGUUUGAUAUUCAACCUGAUUUGCCUAGAACUCUUAAGUAGCUUAAUUGUCCCACUUUUUUAAGUGUUAAUGACUGAAGGUAUUCAGUGAGGCUUUAUGUGAUAUGAGUUUUAAAACUAAAGUUGACUAGAAACUGUUUGAUUCAUAUGAUUAGUUAGGACUUAGAUGAGGCUCAUUUUAAAGGGGUGGGCAUUGGCAAACCAUCUUUGUCCAUGAGUUUUGGUGGUUGGCAUUUGGUAGGAGAGUGAGGUAAAAGUGGUGGGGUUUGAUUUGGGAGUUAGAAGGUGAGCCUAGAUAUGAGCUGGAGGUAAUGACCAGUGGAAUCUAGGAUCCCUUUUUGUUGAAAGUGAGGUGCAGGAAAGGGAUGGGGAGGUGAUGAACUCACCCUAUCCAGCCCUUCUUUCAGGACCCUAAGGCUUCCUCAACUCCUUAGACCUUGUUCUCAUGACUGUGGAGGUUCAGUAAGAGUUUGUAACAGGCCAAUGGUGGUUUGCCCAACCUUGGGGGAAGUCCUUGUGAUUCUUUGUUGUUUUAAAACUUAGAUAAAAUAAAGGGACAGUCACUUGUCAUAUUUUGUCAUGCCUUGGGAAUUUUGAAUUUUACAUUGUCUAAAACCAAGUUUGGAACAAAGUAAGUGUCUGUCAUGUCCUUAUUAGGGAGGUUGAAUUGCCAUGAACUAAGUCCUAAAGAGGUGAAUUUUCUUUUCUGAUAUUUGCAUACAUGUUACUCUCUUGUUCCUGAGAUUUGCCUUGUCUGUUUGCUUGCUUGUUUUUUUUUUUCCUAAGAAAUGAGCUUUGAGGUUGGUAUGAUUUUUAGUAGAGGACUGUAGUCAUGUGAAGACACUUGACUGAAUCUACACUUGAAAAUGAAAAUUUGACUGAUCUAAAUUAGUAAAGACUUUUCACUUCUUGAAUUAACUAGUGUCACUUAGACUUUGCUUAAAACUGCAGUAUAACCUAGACUAAAUAAGAACUGUGAUCCGCCUAGCAAUAACUAAUCCUGUAUCAUUAUUAUUUCAAAGUCCUAUUAAACACUGAAUUGGGAGAAAGAAAUGACUAAUGUUAUUGUGCUUAUGCUAAAAUGAAUAGUGUUCAAUGGGAGUUGAUCUUGAUGUUGGUUGUGAAAGUGUGCUAAGUACUCCUAAGGAUAGUAUGGGCCACUUAGCCUAGGCUGGUCUUUUCAAGACACCUCAAGAGGGGCAGAGAAAAGCCAAGCUCAGCUUGACUCAUGAUAUCUACCCCCAAAUGAGGGGUGUCAUGACCAAUCUACAUGCCAUGGGGGACAUCCUAGUCUUGAAGGGUUAAGAUUUCCUUAAAUCCCACCAUCUAAAAAAUAGGACUUAAAGGAUAAAAGGAGUAGGAAACUCAACAUGAUCAAAUGUCUAAGGUGCACCUUGGGGACUAGGAAUAAUGAAUAAGAUCAUUUUAAGAAGUAGUCUUUAGUGUGUCUAAAAUAAAUGAACUAGUCUGAGUCUGUAGGUAGUAAGUGUCAUUUGCUAGGAGUCUAAAGGGAUUAGAUAAUGUGAAGAUUGGGUCUUGAACUUCAUGCUUUCUCUUUUAGAUCAUUUAAUGCAUAUGCAGUUGGUUUCUGCCCCUGUCAAUUUUAAAUGGUAAUUGGUGUGAGGCUUUGUUAUAACAUGAUCAUGCAUCUGCUAUAUUAAUUCAAAGGUUUUUCUGUGGUCUUUUAUGGGAAUCUAUAACUGGACAGUCUCAGUUUUCAUUUGGUGUUGUUAUUUAGGUCCUUUGAUGUUACAGUCCUAUUUCUUGAGGAUUAAAACUUGUGAAAUUUCUUGUCACACCCUAAUCUUACUAGGGUGUGAUGGGCACUCGACCCUUAUUUAGGGCCAAGCGAACCCGCUGACUCUUAGUACACACAUAGCCGUUUUGGACUCUUAAAUCAAAUAGGAAUGCAAUACAUAAUAAGGCUUUCAGAAACUUUCUUCUUAUCAUUCUCAAAUCCGAUAAAAUCUGUCAUCACAUGAAACUUAUAACAUGAAGCAUAAUAACACAUCGGCUGGUAGAGCCGCUUACAAUACUGACAUUCUAUACCCACGACUCUGUCUGCAAAGUCUCUAACUCCGAACAAGACAUCAUAGCAUAAUACUCUGACCUGGCAACACUCCAGGGGAAAAUGGAGCUUUCCAACUUCGCUGGAACAUCCUCUAUAAUGGCUUCUAUUCAUCUGGGUGUACCUGCGCGGCAUGAAACGCAGCCCCCGAAGAAAGGGGGUCAGUACGGAAUAUGUACUGAGCAUGUAAGGCAGGACUCACAGUAAAAGGAUCAUAAUUGAUAUAAGGAGUACAGAAACAUGUACAAUGUCCAGAAUACAAAAACUCUAGCCUUUAAAACAUAAAUCAUGCAUAUCAUUAUCACAUACCGUACCUGGCCCGUUAUGUGACUCGGUGGAUAAAAUCAUGUCAUCAUACUUUCAUAUCAUCGUGCA